rnacentral:rRNA from 1 species
AUGACCGUCGUCGCCGCCGCCGCCGCCGCCGCGGCGCAGGAGCUGCCCGGGCACGGGCAGACCGUGUGCGUCACCGGCGCCGCCGGGUACAUCGCGUCGUGGCUCGUCAAGCUGCUCCUGGAGCGAGGCUACACCGUCAAGGGCACCGUGAGGAACCCAGGCACGCAUGAUCCGAAGAACGCGCAUCUGAAGGCGCUGGACGGCGCCGCCGAGAGGCUGGUCCUCUGCAAGGCCGACCUCCUCGACUACGACGCCAUCUGCGCCGCCGUCGAGGGCUGCCACGGCGUGUUCCACACCGCCUCCCCCGUCACCGACGACCCCGAGCAGAUGGUGGAGCCGGCGGUGAGGGGCACGGAGUACGUGAUCAACGCGGCGGCGGACGCCGGCACCGUGCGCCGGGUGGUGUUCACGUCGUCCAUCGGCGCCGUCACCAUGGACCCCAACCGUGGUCCCGACGUGGUCGUCGACGAGUCCUGCUGGAGCGACCUUGAAUUCUGCAAGAAAACCAAGAACUGGUACUGCUACGGCAAGGCGGUGGCGGAGCAGGCGGCGUGGGAGAAGGCCGCGGCGCGCGGCGUCGACCUCGUCGUGGUGAACCCGGUGCUGGUGGUCGGGCCGCUGCUGCAGCCGACGGUGAACGCCAGCGCCGCGCACAUCCUCAAGUACCUCGACGGCUCCGCCAAGAAGUACGCCAACGCGGUGCAGGCGUACGUGGACGUGCGCGACGUCGCCGCCGCGCACGUCCGGGUCUUCGAGGCGCCCGGGGCCUCCGGCCGGCACCUCUGCGCCGAGCGCGUCCUGCACCGCGAGGACGUCGUCCACAUCCUCGGCAAGCUCUUUCCCGAGUACCCCGUCCCAACAAGGUGCUCUGACGAGGUGAACCCACGGAAGCAGCCUUACAAGAUGUCCAACCAGAAGCUGCAGGAUCUUGGCCUCCAGUUCACUCCUGUCAACGACUCUCUGUACGAGACGGUGAAGAGCCUCCAGGAGAAGGGGCACCUCCCGGCGCCGAGGAAAGAUAUCCUCCCAGCGGAACUGGACGGUGCAACAGCGUGA